rnacentral:rRNA from 1 species
CCUACGGGAGGCAGCAGUGGGGAAUAUUGCACAAUGGGCGAAAGCCUGAUGCAGCAACGCCGCGUGAAUGAAGAAGGGUUUCGGCUCAUAAACUUCUAUCAACAGGGACGAAAGAAAUGACGGUACCUGAAUAAGAAGCCCAGGCUAACUACGUGCCAGCAGCCGCGGUAAUACGUAGGGGGCAAGCGGUAUCCGGAAUGACUGGGUGAAAAGGGUGAGUAGGCGGAAUAUCAAGUCAGCGGUAAAAAUUCGGGGCCAACCCCCGUCGUGCCGUUGAAACUGAUGUUCUUGAGUGGGCGAGAGGUAAGCGGAAUGCGUGGUGUAGCGGUGAAAUGCAUAGAUAUCACGCAGAACUCCGAUUGCGAAGGCAGCAUACCGGCGCCCAACUGACGCUGAAGCACGAAAGCGUGGGUAUCGAACAGGAUUAGAUACCCCUGUAGUC